GGGAAACACUUGUGAUGCUGUUCCGGAUCGGGAUAACAUGCCAUCAUCCCGUGGAGCUCCCAGACACAACCAACCUUGACUGGAAGGAGGCAGUCAUCCGGUGUCUUGAGAGCCUCCGGUCCCAAUCCGGAACCCCUCAGCCAGCUGUUUCCAAGCCCAGUCAGCUGGCAGUUCCCAAAGCCCAAUCAGCCGGCCACGCUGAAGUCAAGCCCACUGCCGUUCGCAGCUCACCCAAGCCCGCCAGCUCAUAUGGCAAGCCCUUUGAACAUUAAUAUGGCAAGCCCGCCAAAUGGUAAUCCAGCCCCAGAGCUCGCUCCAGUGUCGGCUCCAGCCCCAGAGCUCGCUCCAGCUCCUAAACUCACAGUGCCAGCUACCCGCUUUGCUGUGCCUGCUCCUCAAGAGCACCAGCCGGUGCCAGCACCACGUACGCGCAUACCCAAUCCACAGUCAAGCCCAGGGAGGGCUCCUGUUCCCGAGUCGAACCCAGAAUGAGCUCCAGAUGUCCCGUUAAGCCCAUGGAGGGCUCCUGAUUUCCCGUUAAGCCCAGGGAGGGCUCCUGAUUCCCCAAGUUCAGACCUGUGCCGCUCUGGAGGCCCACUGUCCCGGGUGUGUCCUAGGUGCCUCCAGAGCACCACCCCCCCCCGCCCCGUGAUGUUAUGUGGUGUGAGGUCAUGCUUUCCGGAGGGGGGUGUCAUGUUAGACUCUGUCCCGUGUUUUGUGUGUUCCUGCUCCCUGAUUGAGCUAUUAGUUAAUUUGAUCCCAAGUGUUUCCAUUGAUCCAAGGUGUUCCUCGUCUUCCCCUCAUCAAGUCAUGUGUUUAAAUGGUGUUCCCAACCCAAGUUUCUUUGUCUGCUAUUAAAUGUCAUCCCCGAUGUUCAAGUGUUUGUCUCCUUGUUUCCUGAAAACUCCUUUGACGUAUUCUCUAGCAUCUCCUUGUCCCUUCCAGCCUGAGUAACUGUGACAGUAGUACUCUCCAGGUUAAACAUUAAUUAUUUAUCACUCAAAUCCCUUUCUAUACCUGUCGGUUGCGUAUGAUGGCGUUUUAGUGCCAC
ensembl:lncRNA